ensembl:lncRNA
AGAUUCUGCAUACUGAAACAAAAAUCCCAAGUGCUGCAACUAAGACCUGGGGCAGCCAAAUAAAAAAAAAGAACCUCAGGGGAACCCUCUUUGGUUUCCUCUCCCAAUUGAAGGCUGGGAAAACCGCUGCCAUUUCCUGCCCACCGCCUGCCCCACACAAUGGGGUGUUGCCCCAGGAUCUUGCUCCAGACAUAGCCUGGGAGCCAUGACUACUGAGCCCGUGUGGCGAAACUACUGAAGUCCACAUGCCAUAGAGCCCAUGAUCUGCAACAAGAGAAGCCACCUCAAGGAGAAGCCCACACACUGCAACCGAGAGAAAGCCCAUGCAGCUACAGAGACCCAGCCCAGCCAAAAAUAAAUAAAAUUAUUUUAAAAAUUGAGCAGAAGGUACAGAGAUUUCUGGCGGACCCCACACACAUGCACAGCCACCCCAUCAUCAACAUUCCCCAUCAGAGGCUCAUGCAUUCUUUUUUUAAUGCCCUCCAUUUCUUCUUUUGGAUUUUCUUUCUUUUUGCUACAAAACUCCUUCCUCCUCCAGAAAUGCCUCUCCUUUCAUUUCACACUUAAUGUUCUUUUGACUUUAGCUCCUUAUCACUGGCAUGGAGUCUCAGGGCUUCUUCCUUAGGUCCUUCCCCUAGCUACAUUUUCUCUACCCAAAAUUUCCCUUGUUAUUCUCUGCAUCUAUUAACAAUGAAUUUUCUUCUCACUGCAUUUUAUGUAUUAGUAUAAAAGUAAUAGGGCUUCCUGGUGGCUCAGACGGGAAAGAAUCUGCCUGAAAUGCAGGAGACCUGGGUUGGGAAGAUACCCUGGAGAAGGGGAUGGCAACCCACUCCAGUAUUCUUGCCUGGAGAAUCCCCAUGGACAGAGUAGCCUGGAGGGCUAUAGUCCAUGGGGUUGCAAAGAGUCGGACAUGACUCAGCGACUAGGCACAG